UAGGGAAUUUUCGUCAAUGGGGGGAACCCUGAACGAGCAAUGCCGCGUGUGUGAAGAAGGUCUUCGGAUCGUAAAGCACUGUUGUAAGUGAAGAAUGCCACAUAGAGGAAAUGCUAUGUGGGUGACGGUAGCUUACCAGAAAGCCACGGCUAACUACGUGCCAGCAGCCGCGGUAAUACGUAGGUGGCAAGCGUUAUCCGGAAUCAUUGGGCGUAAAGGGUGCGUAGGUGGCACGAUAAGUCUGAAGUAAAAGGCAACAGCUCAACUGUUGUAUGCUUUGGAAACUGUCGAGCUAGAGUGCAGAAGAGGGCGAUGGAAUUCCAUGUGUAGCGGUAAAAAUGCGUAGAUAUAUGGAGGAACACCAGUGGCGAAGGCGGUCGCCUGGUCUGUAACUGACACUGAUGCACGAAAGCGUGGGGAGCAAAUAGGAUUAGAUACC
rnacentral:rRNA from 1 species